AGGAAGAGGUAAGAAAGGAGAGAGAGCGGCUGGACAACUCUGUGCUGAACCCACUGAGCCAGGAAGUCAUGGUAAAGGGCUCAAGUUGGAACCUGCAUUUGGCUCCCAAAUGCACAUCCACCACUCAGGCCCUGCCUGCGUGAACUCUCCUCUGGUAACAGGCCCUGGUGACUCAGUGGGCCCGUGAGAGGCUCCCACAACCUGCAGCAGGGCACUCCUGGCUCAGAGAUUUUAAGCAACUGACUCAAAAAGACACAGCCAGGAAGAGGCAGAGCUCAGAUGGAACCAGCUCCACAUAGACGACUCAAAGCCAUGCUCUUCUCGAUGCACGGUGCUUCCUCACUGGCCAGGGGGUGACUGGAAAAGAUGUGAAUCCCUGAGAAAUUUUCUUGGGGGACAAGUGGGAGGCUUGGACGUGUUGAAUUUGGCAAAAUGCUCUGACUUAAGCCUUAACCUGGUGACAGGGUUUCCCUGCCUGCUGCAGCUUGACAACAGAUGCUUUCAAUUUGGGGUGUUGACCCUAGCCCUGGUGGGGGCCAAGAGGGAGGGAGGGAAGAUGCUGACCAGUAGCUUCUCCCUUGGGUUUGCUCUCUCCCGCCAUUGAGGCUGGGAGAGGUGGUGGUCCCUGGGAAGCUGCGCCCUCAGGCGCUACCUUCCUUCCACUUCCUACCCCUGGUGUCUACACAAGCAAUGGUGACCGUGGCUCUGCAUGCCUCUGGGACCUGGUUUCUGGGUGUGGGUGUUCUAGGUGUCCAGAAAAUUCUACAUAUGAAGAAUCAACUUCCUUUUGGAAGGCACAAGGAGUGAACUGAAGGAGAAGCAUUGAGGCCACCCUUCUUGGUGUGGACAUGAAGUAGAUUUUCCUUCAAUUUCCAUUGUAAAUUAAUUUCCAAGUUGAGCUCCACGAAGCGAGUCUCUGCCAAUGGGGCAUUCUUACAGGCAUUUCCAGCAAAGUGCAAAACUGAUUCCCUUCUUUAUCCGUCUUCCCCAAACUGGGGAAGUCUCAGAAAUGAGUGUUUUAUAGACAGGUGGAAAGAUACGUCCUCCAAUUCGUGUUCAAGAGGGAGAAAGGCUGGAGGUAAAUUUCAGCAUUGACUGAUCUUGUGUGAUGUGGUUUCAUGAACUGAAGUGAGAAGAUAUGGAUGAAUGCGAACACUUAGACAACGUCAAUCUGUGAAAAAUGUUAAGGAGAGGUACCAGUAACAGCAACUACAGCAACAGCAGCAGAAGCUAACACAGGAGCUCUGCCUGUGAGCCAGGCCCAUAUAAUAGCUUUACAUUAAAUAUCCCCUUAGUCCCAGUAACAA